rnacentral:rRNA from 1 species
AGUGAAUAGAUACCCAGGUAGUCCACGCUGUAAACGAUCAAUACUAGGUGUGCGGGGACUGACCCCCUGCGUGCCGGAGUUAAACACAAUAAGUAUUGCACCUGGGGAGUACGAUCGCAAGGUUGAAACUCAAAGGAAUUGACGGGGGCCCGCACAAGCGGUGGAUUAUGUGGUUUAAUUCGAAGCAACGCGAAGAACCUUACCAGGGCUUGACAUCCUACUAAUGAAGCAGAGAUGCAUUAAGUGCCCUUCGGGGAAAGUAGAGACAGGUGGUGCAUGGUUGUCGUCAGCUCGUGUCGUGAGAUGUUGGGUUAAGUCCCGCAACGAGCGCAACCCCUAUUGUUAGUUGCUACGCAAGAGCACUCUAGCGAGACUGCCGUUGACAAAACGGAGGAAGGUGGGGACGACGUCAAAUCAUCAUGCCCCUUAUGUCCUGGGCCACACACGUAAUACAAUGGCGGUCAACAGAGGGAUGCUAAGCCGUGAGGUGGAGCGAACCCCUAAAAGCCGUCUCAGUUCGGAUUGCAGG